AAAGAUGUCACUGAAACUGUAUUUCUGGCAUAUUUUCAAGAACUGUCAGAAACGUAUAGUCGGAAUUCUUUAUGGACUAAAUGGUCAAUGCUAAAAUCGAUGGUGACUAUACAUGAGAAACGAGAUAUCACCAAGUUCAAUGAACUACAGGCUUUUUUGAAACGGAAGAGUAAGAGUUAUAAGCCGAAAAAGUCUGCUGUUUUAUCUCCUAAAGAUGUUAUCAUAUUCCUAAAGGACGCUCCUAAUGAUAUUCAUUUAUAGCAUAAGGUAAUUUUUUUCUUAUUUUCCUUUUUGUGUGUAUUUAUUUCCUUUUUUUUGUUAUAGGUUGUUUUGAUUAUGGGUUAUUUUGGAGGAUGCAGAAGUCAGGAACUUUUGAAUAUGAAGAUAUCGGAUAUAGAGGACCGGGAUUCCGU